rnacentral:tRNA from 1 species
GCCAGCAUGAUGCAGUGGUUUGAACACUGAACUACAACUCUGGAGACCAGGGUUUGAAUCCCUGAUUGGCC